GACGAACGCUGGCGGCGUGCUUAACACAUGCAAGUCGAACGAAAAGAGGGAAAGAGCUUGCUCUUUCCGAAAUUGAGUGGCAAACGGGUGAGUAACACGUAAACAACCUGCCUUCAGGAUGGGGACAACAGACGGAAACGACUGCUAAUACCGAAUAAGUUCCAAGAGCCGCAUGGCCCAUGGAAGAAAAGGUGGCCUCUACCUGUCAGCUAUCGCCUGAAGAGGGGUUUGCGUCUGAUUAGCUGGUUGGAGGGGUAACGGCCCACCAAGGCGACGAUCAGUAGCCGGUCUGAGAGGAUGAACGGCCACACUGGAACUGAGAAACGGGCCAGACUCCUACGGGAGGCAGCAGUGGGGAAUCUUCCGCAAUGGGCGAAAGCCUGACGGAGCAACGCCGCGUGAGUGAUGACGGCCUUCGGGUUGUAAAACUCUGUGAUCCGGGACGAAAAGGCAGAGUGCGAAGAACAAACUGCAUUGACGGUACCGGAAAAGCAAGCCACGGCUAACUACGUG
rnacentral:rRNA from 1 species